rnacentral:misc_RNA from 1 species
GAUGAAGAACGUAGCGAAAUGCGAUACUUGGUGUGAAUUGCAGAAUCCCGUGAACCAUUGAGUCUUUGAACGCAAGUUGCGCCUCAAGCCAUUAGGUUGAGGGCACGUCUGCCUGGGCGUCACAUAUCGUAGCCUGAUGCCAGUUUCCUCGUGAUGGGUGACUGUGCAGGGCGAAUGAUGGCUUCCCGUGAGCAUUGUUGCCUCAUGGUUGGUUGAAAAUUGAGUCCUUGGUAGGGAGCGCCGUGAUAGAUGGUGGUUGAGUGACGAACGAGACCCAAUCAUGUGAGACCCCUACCGAAUUUGGCCUUCAUGACCCACAUGCGUCUUUGGAACGCUCAUGACGAGACCUCAGGUCAGGCGGGGCUACCCGCUGAGUUUAAGCAUAUCAAUAAGCGGAGGA